GUACAUCAUUCAAAAGUAAUUCCCACCAACUCAAAUCAACCCCUCAAAACACUCAUCGAACAGACACCUCAGCCGAACGAAGCCUAAGCCACUAAGCCACGAGUCCGGACACCGACGUAAGGAACAGGAGACACACAGAAGAGGAGGUUGUCUGUCAUUUUUCGUCGAUUUUUCGUCAUUUUUUCGUCAUUUUUCUCGUUUAUGGCGUCGGUCGUUGAUUAAUUCGUCCCCUCGGUGAAUGGGUAGAAGAGAGAGGAGAGGAAUCCGUGAGAAAAGCAAAGGUUAGAGGUGAAAGAAGAAGAGAAAAGAGAGAAGGAGAUCAUCAUCAUCAGCUGCCAUCUGUCUGUCUGUCUGUCUGUCUUUCUCAGAACAUGAAGGACAACUGACUCCACCGCCUGGAAGGGUCUCGGAAGCCACCCGUCCGUCCCAGCCACCUGUCUUAGUGCCAACGCCUUGGGUCGCCUCCCUCCAUUCGAGGAGCCCACCCCCAAUGCCUAUCUACUCAUCUACAAUGGCCGGCGACGUGUGGGGCCAGUGGUUUGCUUGCUGCAUUACGCAACAGCCGCAGCGUCGACGUCGACGCAUUGAUCGCACCAUGAUUGGGGAGCCAAUGAACUUUGUGCACACUGGCCACAUUGGCUCGGGUGAUGUGCAAAUGGGGAACAACCAGCUGGUGCAACUGCAGACGCAAAUGAAGAGCAAAGGGG